rnacentral:tRNA from 1 species
AAUCAGUUAGCAAAACUAUGCAUUUGAUUUAGGCUCAAAAGAUAGGGUCUCACUCCCUACUGAUUA